rnacentral:tmRNA from 1 species
GGGGCUGAACGGAUUUGACAGCGGAAGAAAGGGUGUGGUAAGCACGCAGUGCGCCGUGGGUGGGCACUAUAAUCUCGGCCCUCGAAAAUUAAUUGGCGAAAACACUUACGCUCUCGCUGCUUGAACUGAAGUACAGUAGGUUCGCUUAAUCCUCGCUCCAGGAGCGGGGACGGGACAUCGCCCGAAGUAGCCGUUUUUCCCGAGGCGACUUCAACGCGGCGGUGCAGCAAAAUCGGGAAUAGCCACGCGGGGCCUCGCCCGUAGGGUGAAAAUUCAAGAGGAUAAGGCGUUGGCGCGGUGGCUGCGGUCUUGCCGACGCACGAAAACCCAAACGCAGCUAAGCGUGUAGAAAGCUCAUCGGUUCUCCGUUUGGACGAGGGUUCAAUCCCCUCCAGCUCCACUU